rnacentral:rRNA from 1 species
AGGGAAAGAGGAAGGUAGGCCUAACACAUGCAAGUCGAACGGCAGCACAGUAAGAGCUUGCUCUUACGGGUGGCGAGUGGCGGACGGGUGAGGAAUACAUCGGAAUCUACUUUUUCGUGGGGGAUAACGUAGGGAAACUUACGCUAAUACCGCAUACGACCUACGGGUGAAAGCAGGGGAUCUUCGGACCUUGCGCGAUUGAAUGAGCCGAUGUCGGAUUAGCUAGUUGGCGGGGUAAAGGCCCACCAAGGCGACGAUCCGUAGCUGGUCUGAGAGGAUGAUCAGCCACACUGGAACUGAGACACGGUCCAGACUCCUACGGGAGGCAGCAGUGGGGAAUAUUGGACAAUGGGCGCAAGCCUGAUCCAGCCAUACCGCGUGGGUGAAGAAGGCCUUCGGGUUGUAAAGCCCUUUUGUUGGGAAAGAAAAGCAGCAGGUUAAUACCCCGCUGUUCUGACGGUACCCAAAGAAUAAGCACCGGCUAACUUCGUG